rnacentral:rRNA from 1 species
AUAACAGCGAAACUGCGAAUGGCUCAUUAAAUCAGUUAUCGUUUAUUUGAUAGUACCUUACUACAUGGAUAACCGUGGUAAUUCUAGAGCUAAUACAUGCUAAAAACCCCGACUUCGGAAGGGGUGUAUUUAUUAGAUUAAAAACCAAUGCCCUUCGGGGCUCACUGGUGAUUCAUGAUAACUUCUCGAAUCGCACGGCCUUGCGCCGGCGAUGGUUCAUUCAAAUUUCUGCCCUAUCAACUUUCGACGGCUGGGUCUUGGCCAGCCGUGGUGACAACGGGUAACGGAGGGUUAGGGCUCGACCCCGGAGAAAACGCCUGAGAAACGGCGUUUACAUCCAAGGAAGGCAGCAGGCGCGCAAAUUACCCAAUGCCGACACGGCGAGGUAGUGACGAGAAAUACUGAUACAGGGCUCUUUUGGGUCUUGUAAUUGGAAUGAGUACAAUUUAAAUCUCUUAACGAGGAACAAUUGGAGGGCAAGUCUGGUGCCAGCAGCCGCGGUAAUUCCAGCUCCAAUAGCGUAUAUUAAAGUUGUUGCAGUUAAAAAGCUCGUAGUUGAACCUUGGGCCUGGCUGGCCGGUCCGCCUCACCGCGUGCACUGGUCCGGCCGGGCCUUUCCCUCUGGGGAACCGCAUGUCCUUCACUGGGCGUGUCGGGGAACCAGGACUUUUACUUUGAAAAAAUUAGAGUGUUCAAAGCAGGCCUAUGCUCGAAUACAUUAGCAUGGAAUAAUAGAAUAGGACGUGUGGUUCUAUUUUGUUGGUUUCUAGGACCGCCGUAUUGAUUAAUAGGGACAGUCGGGGGCAUCAGUAUUCAAUUGUCAGAGGUGAAAUUCUUGGAUUUAUUGAGACUAACUACUGCGAAAGCAUUUGCCAAGGAUG